rnacentral:snRNA from 1 species
GGCGAAUACUAACGCGACGA